rnacentral:lncRNA from 1 species
GGGCGAAGAUGGCGGCGGAGCGACAGGAGGCGCUGAGGGAGUUCGUGGCGGUGACGGGCGCCGAGGAGGACCGGGCCCGCUUCUUUCUCGAGUCGGCCGGCUGGGACUUGCAGAUCGCGCUAGCGAGCUUUUAUGAGGACGGAGGGGAUGAAGACAUUGUGACCAUUUCGCAGGCAACCCCCAGUUCAGUGUCCAGAGGCACAGCCCCCAGUGAUAAUAGAGUGACAUCCUUCAGAGACCUCAUUCAUGACCAAGAUGAAGAUGAGGAGGAAGAGGAAGGCCAGAGGUGAGUCUUCUAGAGGGGGUCAGGGGGACAGUUCACAGGGAAGUCCAGGGUAAUGUGUAAAUCACCUAGAACAGGACCUGGUAAACAUGUUUGGUUAUUGUUAGCCAUUACUACUGUGGGCUGGUCUGUGUGGGUUAUAUCUUAGGAAGUCUCUUCUACUCCUUGUAGCU